rnacentral:rRNA from 1 species
GACGAACGCUGGCGGCGUGCCUAAUACAUGCAAGUCGAACGCAGUGGGGACGGGUGAGUAACACGUGGGUAACCUCCCAUCAGAGGGGAUAACACUUGGAAACAGGUGCUAAACCGAUACUGAUGGAUGGACCCGCGGUGCAGUAGCUAGUUGUGGGGGUAACGGCUCACCAAGGCGACGAUCCGUAGCUGGUUUGAGAGUACGACCAGCCACACUGGGACUGAGACACGGCCCAGACUCCUACGGGAGGCAGCAGUAGGGAAUAUUCGGCAAUGGACGAAAGUCUGACCGAGCAACGCCGCGUGAGUGAAGAAGGUUUUCGGAUCGUAAAGCUCUGUUGUUAGAGAAGCGGUAUCUAACCAGAAAGCCACGGCUAACUACGUGCCAGCAGCCGCGGUAAUAC